rfam:Triticum aestivum genome assembly, contig: Triticum_aestivum_CS42_TGACv1_scaffold_500507_6BL
AAAGUACUCCCUUCGUACGGAAUUACUCAUCACAAAAAUGGAUAAAAAUGGAUGUAUAUACAACUAAAAUACAUCUAGAUAUAUUCAUUACUUGGACGAGUAAUUCCGAACGGAGGGAGUACCAG